CGUGCGUGCGCCUACGGAAGCUUAGACUGCGCUUCUUGCGAGGCGCCAGCGGCGGCGUGGUGAGAGUGAGCUUUCGAGAAGCCCUGGUGGCUUCCAUGUGAUGGUGGAGGAGGAGGCAAGUCUCAGCGGUUUGUCUGGAGUGCUCUAAAUGACACUGUUUCAUUAUUUUGAUGGCCAAGAAUAUUCCCUCAUGUAUGUGUACAAGAGUUUCUUGAUUCCUUUAUCUGUGGAUGAACAGGUCAUUUGCCAUGAUGUCCUGCAGGUUCAAGAGUAUGGCUCCAAAUGAUGAAAUUUCAUUCUGCUUUACUGGCUGAAGACUAUUUGUGUGUAUCCACCACAGUUACUUUAUCCCUUCACCUGUGGAUGGGCAGGUAAGUUUAUUCUUUAUCUUGGCAAUUGCGAAUAGUGAUGCAGUCCACAUACGAUGGCAGAUAUCUCUUACAUGACUGAUUUCUUUUGCACUGAAAGUAUCCUUAGUAGUAGAAUUGUUAGAUGAAGUGGUAGUUGUAGGUUAAUUUUUGUGUUUUUGCUAGUAAGUGGUGUUAGUUGCUUAGGCAUUUUGAAGGCAACCUUUUAUCAGAUGUAUGUUUGCUGAAUCCUUUCUUGUAAACCUCAGGAUGAUUUUUUAUUUUCUUCAUGGAUUUUUUUAAAUAUGCUUGGGCACAAACUCUAGAGUGUGAUGCAGUCCUACAUGUGUCUGUUUUCUUGGUUUCCUGUGAUGUAGGUGACGGAUGAAGAAAAUCAAAAUUAUGACCAAACUAAUCCAUCACCCAUGAGUUUCCCCCUGUAUUUUUUGUUUGGUUUUGGCACACUGUGAACACAGAUCCACGUUGACCUAAAUAUACCCACAUUGUUUGUCUUUCCAUUGGAGGUACUUGAUGCUUUCAAGUUUUGUGUAUGAGUCUCUAAUUCAUUUUGAGUUGAUUGUUGCGCCUGUUACACAAUAGGGGCCCUAUUUUGUUUUGCAUAGGGGUAUCCAAUUUUCAAAGCAAUUAAUUAAACAGAUUCUCCCUUCUUCGUUCUGUCUUUUGGUGUUCUUUUACAAAAUGUUUACUCUACCUAGGAAUUUGGGUUUGUGAUUUGAGCUCCCUCGUUCUGUCUGUUGGUUUGGGUUUCUUGGUUAAUGCCAGUCAUCUAUUGUUUAGAUAACUAGCUUUUUAAUAUAAUUUCAAAUAGAUGGCAGUGAUUUAUCCCAUGUACUUUGUAUUUUCAGGAUUGCUUUAGAAAUUCAGGGUGUUUCAUGGUUCCAUGUGAAUUUUAGCAUCGUUGACUUUUUUUAAAAGAAUUGCCCUAGAGUAUACGUAUAUAACUAGAGGAUGCAGGGACCAUUUUGAUAUAGGUACACCUAGCAUAUUGAUCAAAUCAUAAUAUUUAGCAUCUAUGAAGUCCUCUAGGUAUUAUUUGUCUGUGGAGAGGAUAUUCAGAAUCCUUUCCAGCUAUUUGGAAAAUUUGCUACAAUAUUAACCCUAGUCACUCUGCUACAGAAGAGAAGGGCAGGGUUGAUCUGUUUUCUAAGUGUAACCUCAUACCUAUUACCAAUU